rnacentral:misc_RNA from 1 species
AGCAAUCCUGCCAGAAACAUGGCCCACCUGCCCCACCACUGAUCUGGUGACACAUGCAGAGAUCAAUUUUGCAACUUGCAUUUCAACAUUCCUGCUUGAAGUGCGGAUCUCCUGCCCUUCAGCACACAUGGCCAGUCACAUGCCAAGACGAUGGAAUGCUGUCAGCGAGCAGCAUGGAAGACGCAGAGAGAGUGGUGGUCAGGUGGUGGUGGAGACAGGGAGAGUAUGUGGCCUGGAGAUUAAAAA